UGCCUCAAUAGUGGUAUUAUUACCUAUGACUGACUUGAAUUGAUGGGUUUUGGUAGUUCACUUGAUGUACUCCUAUUAUUUUGUUCUAGAUAGUUAAUACCAUAAGUUACGGUUAAUACCAUAAGUUUUGGUAUACUUCAGAAAUUAUGGGGGGAAGAUCUUUUUUUAUAAAAAGAUUUAAAUAGGACUAAGAUCCUAAAGUUAUUGAGGG
rnacentral:lncRNA from 1 species